UCGUGGACGCCAACAGCCUGGCGAAUUUUUUUUGGAAGCAAUGUUGGGUGCAACCGCAAAGUUAGUGCCAUGUGCACUGGUCGUGUUGAUGGGAUUGGCCUUGACGACGGGAGCCAGCUGGAAAGAUUUGAUUUCAUCCAAAGGUUUAUCUUCUCCAAAUCUUAACAUUCCUAUAGUUGGAGGUGUAAGAUCAUUGGGCCAAGCCGAACUGACUACUGCCGAAAAUAUUAACAUGGUUAAAGCAGCAUUAGAUGCAAGCAGAAUUAAGAAUUACAGCAACAUACAGAUUGUCUCGGCAACGCGGCAGGUGGUAUCAGGAUUCCGUUACGGAUUUCAGGUAAAUCUCAAAAUUAAUGGCAAACCACGUUCCUGCUCUGCGUCGGCUCUACUUCCGAUUCCACCCAAGGUACCUGUAUAUUCAGCAAGUUGUUAAUGCAUUUUUUUGUAAACGAUUUCAAAAAAGUUCAAUCAAGUUAUAUGGUUUCUAAAUAAAGUAAUGUUUAUUUACUGCA